rnacentral:tRNA from 1 species
GUCCAGGGUAGUAGCCUAGUGGACAUGGCAUCUGCCCGGUAAGCGGUACAUUGUGGGUUCGAUUCCCAUCCCUGGACA